GGCUGGCAUAAAACACACAUGUGGCAGUGGGGCUCGGUGGCUUUAGGAGGACGGCUAUGAGCUGCCAUGUGGGUGCUGAGAACUGGACACAGGUUCUCUCCGAGGGCAGUAAGUGUCCUUAACUAUCUCCAGCCUAAGAUGCAACAUUCUUGAAGUAGGUUCUAAACAGUCUUUCACUGAAACCAAAACAAAGCAUUGAUUUGCUGUCAAAGAUACCGUUUCAAAUAAUACUUAUAACAGCAUAUUUUUUCCAAAAGAGAAUAAACAUUCUUAUUAAGUUAUUAAAUAUGUUGAUGAAAACUUUCAGCUGUUGUUGUGAACAUGUUAGAGCAAGUGAUGUGGACCACAAAAUAUGAAAUAGUGGUAGGUGAAGUUAAUCUACACAGCUUAAAACUAGUAGAAAGUAAAUGCUAGGCUUUGAAUGUAUGCAUCCUUCCUCAAGUCCGAUGUUAAUUCUAACCCUCAGGUUGAUGGGUUCUAGAAGUCGUCUAUGGGAGUGCAGCUCUCAUGAAUGGGACUACUAUCAUGUUAUAGGAGCCCAAGAGAGACUCCUUAACCUUUCAACAUAGGCGUACACAACUAGGAAUUUAGGUGAUCACCAGACACUGAACAUUGUAUAUCUUUGACUUCCCAGUUUUGAGAAACGUUUCAAUUGUUUGCAAACAACCCAGGUCCUGCACUGUGCUACAGUAAAUUAAAGCAUCACCCACACCAACUGUUGAUGGUACUCAUUGCUGAGUAGUGGCUCAAGAGUCGGCUCUUUCUCCUUCUCCAUGCUGUGUGUCCCACAGCUAACAGGUAUCCUUACAAUCACCAUGCAGGCUAAUAAAACCAAACCAGGAACCUAAUUUCCUAACUCAGGGGAAUGGUCUAGGUUGAAGCUAUUGACAUAUAUGAAUGAGAAGGAAUACUUCCCAUGUGGCUAUUAUUAACUCAAUGUGGAGAGGAGAUGGAUGAGCCAGAAACUCCGGAGCCUCCAGCAUCUAAAACGUUCACGGCUUAUUCAAAAGGGCUGUGUUUAUUUUGAACAUAGUUUUAAGUCUCAAGGGAUUAUCAAUGGCUCCAAAAUAAGAAUGGGAUAUAGGAAAAUCACACACACACACACACACACACACACACACACAGACUUUCUCUCUCUCUCCCCCACACAGUCACACACAUAUCUCUCUCACAUACACAGUCACAUGCAAUCACAAACUCAAAGCCCACAUAGAUUGAGAAACAGAUCUGAAGAGUAUUGAGUUGAAAGGACUCAAGAAAGGAAAAAUAAUAAUAUAGUUAUGUUGGAAAGCCUGGCAGUCUUUGACAAUAUGUAUGUAAAAAAUAUUUUUUUUAAAAAAAUUAAAAACUUUAAUCCUAGCACUCGGGAGGCAGAGGCAGACAGAUCUCUGUGAGUUUGAGGCUAGCCUGGUCUACAAAGCUACACAGAGAAACCUUGUCUCAAAAAAACAAAACAAAAUUUAAAAACUUAAUCUUAUUUUAUGUAUGUGAGUAUUUUGAUGUCAUAUGUGUGGCACACGCAUACAUUGCCCAGGGAGGUCAGAAAAGGACACCAGAUAUCCAGGAACUGAUGUUACUGUUCUUUGUGAGCUGCAAUGAGGUGCUGGAAUUGAACCUGUGUCCCCUAGAAGAGCAGCCAGUGUUUUUAACCACUGAGACAUCUCUCCAGACUGCAUUGUUAAAGCUAGCCACCAAGGUCUAUUCCCUUAUUUGGCUGCUUCCUCCUCCUGAGACUGGCUACUUCAAUACUACCAAAGUAUUUAAGUCUAGAAAUCAAAAGCCCCCUGUGGUUGCCCUAAUUAAUUUGUCCAAUCAAAAUUAAACACCUCAUCCUAACACGUGGUUUCCCCUCUUACCUUUGUAAACUGCCAUUUGCCUAUGGGCCAUUCCUGUCUCCUCUCUAUCCAGAGGCAGUCCUUUGUCCCUCUGAGACAAAUACUCCUUCCUCUCUCUCUUGUUCCCUUCCCCUUAUCUCUUGUCCUCUGUCUCCUGUCUUUGUCUCGUAUUGCCUGCCUUUUGUCACUCUGGGGCAAAUUUAUCUCUUGUGUGCUGAGAACUUGGUCUUGGAUGUCUUGUGCUAAAUACCAGUCCCUCCAAGCUGGCCUCAUGCUCUCCCUGCCAUGAUGGGACUAUUUCUUCUGGAGCCACAAAUAACCCUUUCUCCCCAUAAGCAGCUUUGGUCAGAGUAUUUCAUCACAGCAACACAAGAGGAAUGCAUACAGUGGAGCACCAUUUGAGGUUCCAUAAGCAGUGAGGACCACUGGGAAGAAGAGACUCUUUGGCCUGCUGAACUGCCCGAGAGUCAUGCAGAGAGCUCCAGGGAUACAGCUUUGGUGAAUCAUCAUCCAAAGAGGGGUAGGUUUUUUUUUUGUGUGAUGCAGCUGCUUCUGAAUCAUCGACAUUCAUGUAACCUGUAACCCCUCACACAUAAUCCUGCAAGCAAUCUCAGAUGAACUCAUUGGUUUGUAAAGUUUAACUUCAGCAGAAUCCUCUCAUUGGUCUGGUAUAGGUUAUCUACCCGAGACAAGUCAAUAUUCGUUUUUUAUCUUUGCAGAACAUAUUAAAACAACGACAACAACAACUCACCAGCAUAAAAACACAAAUUGAACAUCCUUCCCUCAUCUCUCCUCCCUUCCUCUCUUUCUUUCUUUCUUCCUUUUAAAUUUGGAUUUUUUUGGGGGGAAACAAAUUCAUGCAUACAAUGAGAUAUCUUGUGAAUGGUACCCAGACUUAGGCCUGAAAUUUGUUUGUUUUAUACAUAUUAUACACAUAGCCUGAAGCUGAUUUUAUACAGUGAUUUUUGUUAAUCUAAUGUUUCUGGUGUGGGGUUUCCAUAUGAAAUUUUAUACCAGUGUUCAGAAAGCUUCAACACUGGGUUUGAUGCCCAGCACGUGAAAAAAAAAAAAAAAAAAGUCUUAGAAGACUUCAGAUUUUAAGUUUCCAGAAGACAAUUGUUUGCAAUGCCAGAAGAUUCCUGCUAUUUAUAGUGAGGCAUAGUAAUAUACUUAGUGAUACCACCAUAGGAUUGAACUGAAUUAGCAGUCAACAAAGAAGUUAUGUCAAUAGGAUGGAUCAGCUAAAAAUAAAAAAGGUAGACAAAAAAUUACUAUGUAGGUGGUAAAGCGAGACAGAAGGUUUGGAAAGUGAACACUAACAUAGACAUUAAGUUUUAAUACAAAAGAAAUAAACAGAAAAAUCUGAAAUGUAAAAUAGCCUUUGAACACGCGACAGUAUUUAACCUAACAGGAGAUAAAUACAAAGUAAAGCUAUUCUGAGAAAGCUAUUCUGAGAAAGUAAAGCUGUUUGUCAUUCAACCUGCUAUUGGCACCAAAGUCCCUGCUCCAGCACCCCACUGUGUACCAUCAAGAUGAAAAACCUGUCCUGGAGGUUCCUUUAGACUCAGGAACUCAAUGACUACAAAUCUCAGCAAGUUCCUGAAAUAAUACUCACAAAGCCCCUCCCUCCUCAAGGUCAGAUAAGCAGACUGCUUGGGAGAGAGGAGCCUGCAGAGAGCUGUGGGGUUUUAUCUUUCCCAGAGUGUGGGGUGGCCUUUUUGUUGCUGCAGCUGUUUUUGAGUCAGUCAUGCUCCUUCAUCCAUAUUCCUGCCAGUAAUCCCAAUAAAUUCAAGGGUUUGCUCAGCUAGACUUCCGGUGGAAUUAUUUCUUUGUGGUUGAUAAUCUAUCUGGGGUAGAGGUGAUUGUUUAUGUUUCCCCAGGAAAGGUCACACAGUACUUCUAGAUUGCAGCUCUGAAAAAAAUAUUUAAACUAAAACUUAUGGUCAGUACAGCCAUAUUUGAGAGUUAAGUUUCAUUGACAUCAGCAGAACCGCAUGCUAUAUUAGGGUUAGCCUACGGCAUUUCAAUUUGUCCUGUGUAUUAUCAUACAAUACUCAUGCUUAACUGUUCUCAACGGAAAAAGGAGAUCUGAGAUUUUUUUUGGUGAAAAUAACUUAUAGUUGGGUGAAUUUUAGCUGAGUUUGUCCACACUAUAGUGGUGUACUGAAAUGGAGAAGUUUUAGUUUAAAAUAUUGUGAUGUAAAGCUAAAAUGAACCUGGCUAAUUCCUUAAAACUAUUUUCUUUUCCUUUUUUAAAGAUCAGUAUUAUUUGGCUUUCCCUUAGGUCCCAAGGCAAUCUAGUCUCUGGUUCUUGGUUGCCCAAGCAGUGUCAGGAUUGGGUUACACCUCAUAGAGUGGAUCUUCAGUUGUUGGUUGGUUACUCUCACAAGCUUUGUGCCACUGUUACCAGAGCUUGGCUGAUUCUUAUGUUCAUGAGACACAGGACAACAAAGAAACAACAUUUGUAAGAGCACUCAGAUCUAGAGUGCUAUAAGAGCCACUUUGAAACCCCAGGUCUCAACUAUGAUAUGUGGACGGGACCAUUGGGAAGUGACUAGGUUUAGAUCAGGUCAGGUCUCAGGAUGGACUUAGCAUCCAAGAAUGAUGAAAGACUGGAGAUUUUCAGGGAAGAAGCUAGGAAGAAGGCCCAUCUAGAACCAAAACAACACCAUCCCAAUCUCAUUUCUAGGUAGUAGGACUAGAAAAAUGGGAGGUUUAAGAAAUCUAGUCUUUGGAUAUUAUUUCUUGUUGCAGCAGCUGGAAUAUAGAUAAGCAUUUUCUAUACAAGAUUGAUUGUGUGCCUAGACCACUAAACUGUAGAUCAGGGCUGGCAAGAUGGUUCAGUGGGUAAAGAUUCUUGUUGCCCAGCCUGAUGACUUGAGUUUGAUUCCCAGAAUACAUAGUGGAGAGAGCAGGUUUCCCAGCAAGUUGUUCUCUGAAAUUCGUAAGUGCAUUGCAGCAUACAUAACACACCACACAUAAAAUAAAUGCUAUAAAACAGUUUAUAGAUCAGUGGUUUGCAGCUUGUUUUCUUAAGAGAUGUUUGGCAGGAUCUGGACACUUGAUCCCCGCCCCCCCAAUUGGGAAAUGUCUGCUGGAAAUACUUUUGUUGUCUAACUUCUUGAGACAGGCUCUCACUCUAUUGUCCAGGCAGGCCUUAGUCUCUUGCCUCCCACCCAAGUCCUGGAAUCACAGGCAUGUGAGACAUUGUAUAGCUCAGGAGACAUUUCUGGUUGGCAUUGGGCAGAAGCUGGUAAAUGUCCUACAAUGCUCAGAUCCCCAUGAAUGCGAAUGACUCUCCACAAACUGUGGGUAGUGGGUAGGUUCGGACCUUGCUGUAGAGGUAGCUUUAAGCAUCAUUUCUAGGGCUGAGGAUGUAUCUCACUUGGUAGAGAACUUACCUAGCAUAUAGGGAGCCCUGGAUUCAAAUCCCAGCACCCCACUUAUGGGGCACAAUAGUGCACGCUGUAGUCCUAGCACUUGGAAGGUGGAGGCAGGACGAUCAGGAGUUUAAGGCCAUCCUUGGCUACAUGAGUUUGAGGCUAGAUUGUAAUACUUGAGACCCUACCUUGAAAUAAAAUAAAAUAAAAGGUUUAUUUCUCUACAA